GUCGGAUAGAGCGCGUAAAAACACUUGUAAACAUAUCUAAUAUAUUUAUUUCUAAAUAAUUAAUCUUUUUACGAUGGUGAGAUGUUGUUUUUGCCAAAGUGUUCAAAGCAAAGGAUGUGGGCGAACAUAUCAUAAGUUUCCAUUAUCAAAUAAAUUUCUAUUGGAACAAUGGAUUAACAAUGUACCAUUAAGCAUUGGAAACCUAGCAAUGGAAGCUUACUGUGUUCAAAUCACUUUACUGAGGACUGUUUUGAUAGAUCUGAAUUUAGAGUACGCUUGAAGCGUAAUAAUGUUCCAACCUGUUUCGGAGAUCCCCUGACAGCAUGUAUAAUGUGCAAGCGUAAAUGUAGAGGUGACUGUCAUCUCUCAACUUCUAAGGAUCAAUAAAUUCAUCCAAUUUGGGCUGCGCAAAGUGAUGACAUCACUUUAUUUUCAGAUAUACAAAUUUAGACAUAUAUAAAACGGCUGUUGUUAAUUUGCUGUUCUCUGUGUCGUAGUAUACACAUCGUUUUACACAAAGUGUUAGUUACGCAAAACCUAUUUCAAGUUUUUCACGAUGAAGCGAGUAUUUCUCAAUAAAAAGGGUUCGCUAUACCAUUAUCGCAAUUAAAACGUAUAAUAGGAACCUUUAUUGAAUGAAUAAAGAAUUAUUGUCUUAUUAAACAUAAAAUCUUGUAUUAUCCCACUCGGCAUGUAAUAUAUAUUGCUGAAAUACUAUAAUGUUCGUGUCGUAACCCGACCGAUUUUUUAAUAUUAAAAUAUAAAACAAGUAAAGUAGAACAGAAAAGAUUGAGAAAGAGCUGAUUAAAGCAAAGCAUUAGAA